UACGGAGGGUGCGAGCGUUGUCCGGAAUCACUGGGCGUAAAGGGCGCGUAGGCGGCCUGAUAAGUCGGGGGUGAAAUCCUGCGGCUUAACCGCAGAGCUGCCUUCUAAACUGUCAGGCUAGAGCACAGUAGAGGCAGGUGGAAUUCCCGGUGUAGCGGUGGAAUGCGUAGAGAUCGGGAAGAACAUCAGUGGCGAAGGCGGUCUGCUGGGCCGUUGCUGACGCUGAGGCGCGAAAGCGUGGGGAGCAAACAGG
rnacentral:rRNA from 1 species